rnacentral:hammerhead_ribozyme from 1 species
AUCCGGCUGACAAGUCACAAACAGGACGAAAUGUCCGUCCUGGAU